rnacentral:rRNA from 1 species
CAUGCGCAGCUACCAUGCAGUCGAGCGAACCUUCGGGUUAGCGGCGGACGGGUGAGUAACGCGUGGGAACGUACCCUCUUCUGCGGGAUAGCCACUGGAAACGGUGAGUAAUACCGCAUACGCCCUUCGGGGGAAAGAUUUAUCGGAGGAGGAUCGGCCCGCGUUGGAUUAGGUAGUUGGUGGGGUAAUGGCCUACCAAGCCUACGAUCCAUAGCUGGUUUUAGAGGAUGAUCAGCCACACUGGGACUGAGACACGGCCCAGACUCCUACGGGAGGCAGCAGUGGGGAAUCUUAGACAAUGGGCGCAAGCCUGAUCUAGCCAUGCCGCGUGAGUGACGAAGGCCUUAGGGUCGUAAAGCUCUUUCGCCAGAGAUGAUAAUGACAGUAUCUGGUAAAGAAACCCCGGCUAACUCCGUGCCAGCAGCCGCGGUAAUACGGAGGGGGUUAGCGUUGUUCGGAAUUACUGGGCGUAAAGCGCACGUAGGCGGAUUGGAAAGUUGGGGGUGAAAUCCCAGGGCUCAACCCUGGAACUGCCUCCAAAACUCCCAGUCUGGAGUUCGAGAGAGGUGAGUGGAAUUCCGAGUGUAGAGGUGAAAUUCGUAGAUAUUCGGAGGAACACCAGUGGCGAAGGCGGCUCACUGGCUCGAUACUGACGCUGAG